ensembl:lncRNA
GCCAGUUCUGGGACAGCUGAAGUUGAACCAAAUAGGUUUAUGCUCCUUGUUCUACAAUAUCUGUGGUUGUAGUCUAACGGUUUUGACUUAAAGUUAUUAUUUAUAGGGGUGCCAUGUAGGUUGUGCCUACCAGAGAAAACAUUGGUUUCUCCUUUUGGUUUGGGAGGGAAUGAGUCCCAUCUGGUCCGUCAAGUCUACACCAAUACAAAGGACUUAUGUAAAAGUCAGGAUGGAAAUACUCUUUUCAUAAACCCUUAAAACAUUGGAAAGAACUUCAAAAACAACUAUUCUUUUACAUGGGUUGUAUUACCAACAUAAAUGAUCACACACACAACAAUAUAGCAAAUAAUGAGCUCUGGUUCCUCCAGAAAUGUCCUGUUUCUCGGGCCUAAAAAGAGUCCAGGCCAGUGAAAAAGUUCAGGGAACUCAAGUGACCCUAGUUACGGUUUAUGCUACAAGUUUAGCGUAAACCCAGUAUCAAAUCAUAAAAUCAAAAAUAACUAUUAUUUUACCACACAACCAUCAAGCGUAUGAACCCUUAAUAAGUCCUCAACUACAACUACAUAAAUCACGGUAUACGUCACACCAAAACAAAUGAAAUACCGUAUACAAAAAAGAUAGUAGUCAGUCGGUCAGUCAGACAAUCCAAUCCGCCAACAGAUCUCCAGCUGCGAAUGUCCACAGAUCUCCUGCUGAGAAAGACCACGAACAACAACGGAGAGGUGUAGCCCACGGACGCAAAGAGUGGAUCCGAUCCUGGGUAAACUUGAUAUUAGGCUACAAAACACACUUUUAAAGGCAACAAAAUAAACGGAGUAGAGACGCUUCGGAACUCAGGGUUGAAAACAUCCUCAUUCUGUAACGAUCUUGGUGUAGUGGGUGCGAAGUCAGGCGCAGGAAACAGAGAGUUCAAGGUAGUGCUCUUUAAUGCACACACGGCGAACAUAGGCCACCCCACGAAACACUGGGCGCUCACAAAAACAAAUGCCCCAAACACGGGGACUAAAACAGUCCAGCAAAACCCACGAACAGGGGAAAAAAAAAAAACACGUUCGUCUCAAACAUGCACAAAUGUCACACAAACAAUCCCGCACAAAGAACAGGGG